rnacentral:tRNA from 1 species
GUGCUAAUGGUGUAGUGGUUAUCACAUCUGUCUAACACACAUAAGGUCCCAGGUUCGAUCCCUGGUGAGCCCC